GGACCGCAGAGCCAGAAGAGAGGAGUCGCCGUAGGCCCUGCUGAAGCCGGCCAUUGGCAGGGCCUGCAGACUGGCGUGGGUGUGGGACGCUGUAACCCCUGGACGUUGGGGUCGCGGGAAGGGUUUGGCGGUGUGCGGAGAAGUAAGAUUCUGAUUCAGAAGAUCUGGUGUGAAGCUCUAGAACCUGAACGUCUGACAAUGUCCCAAGUGAUGCCAACACUGCAGAUCCCUGGACUUCACUUUGAGUAGCAAUGCUGUAGUAUAUUGUAAUAUACACAUCACCAGAAAGCCUAUAAAAGAAUGCACAGGAAAAUGAACCUCUAAACCUGUACUAAUGCUAUAGGAUCAUUCAGUCAAGGUGAAGCAACAAUCUUGUACCCAUGAGUACAGAAACCAAACAUUAAGGAUGGAGAAGUUGGAAAUGAAAAGGAGAUUGAGUUCUUAACUUUUUUUUUAAGUAGCUAGAGCUGCUAUUUACUGUCUGUUUAUGGACUUCAUGUUAUACAAGAAAAAAAACCUCUAUUUGCUUAAGCCACUGAGGUCAGUCUCUUCUGUUAUAUGCAGCUGAACACAACACAGACUAAUGGGUCUACAUCUCUGAUGCCUUUUGGUCUUUAGUCUGUGAUUACAGCAGAAAUAGCCCUCCUCCCACAGAAUUUACAUUAAUUUAGGACUGUCUUUUUUCCAUAUUCCAUGGUAUAUCUGGUAUAUCUGGUAGGGACCAACUAGGAGACAAAACCAUUUUAGUAAUUUGACAAAGAAAAUUUAAUGUAAAGAUUGUUAACCAAUAAAAGGUAUCUACUAAGAAGGAUAGAGUGGAUUCUAAGGGGUGCAGAAGUAGCAACUGUCGGAAUAGCUACUACCCUUGGCUAAGGAAGAGUGAACAGAGAGGAAGAAUUUGGAAAUUUAGAGGAGAGGGCAUGGCUGUCACAGGAACUUAUAGUCAACUUGUGGUGAAGGAACUUGCUGGAGGUACCAGCCACAAAUAAACCAGGAAGACUGCUGAGGUGCACAUAACCAGGCCUCUCUUGCAAACCAACCGAUGGGCUCCACACCAGAAGAAAGAAAAGUUGGUUCCUCCAGCUCUGGCCUCACAGAGUCUUUCCAUAGCCCUCUCCUGGCAAUGCCUAACAUUUUGCCAGUUGUCAAAGCAGAAAUGCCGGCAGGGUCCAGCUCUAGAAUAACGAAGCAAGGCAAAGAAGGAUGGAUUUGUAGCUGAGAAGCCAUAAGUUAAUAACUGGCACAGAUGGUAAGAUUCUCAAGGGCAAGGAUAAGGUCUAAUUCUAUUUAUGUCUUCUACAGCACCUAACAGAGUUAAACAUAGUAGUCACUCAAUACAUUUUUGCUCAAUAAUAUAUAAGGGGCUUAGUAUAUACAAAGUAAUUUGAAAUAAUUUUUUUGUUCUUCUCUUUUGACUAAGAUAUUAGUUUCUUUGGACAAGUUAGAAUGACCUCUAGAAUGCCUUUUCUUUCUAGUAUUGCAGAAUUCAAACUAAGAGAAACAGGAACAUUUUUCGGUUUGUGACAUGGGUUUGUUCAAACAUUUUUAUGUGUUUAUGAAGGACUCUGAGUUUAUACUCUCAUGUGCUUAAUGAAUUCAUUGAAAAACCAAAACAUUAGCACCCUUUAUUGAUCCAUUCUUUUGAGACAACAUAAUAUUGGCAGGAAUGGUUCAUAAACUGAAGCAGCCUCAAGUUGGAGUUGUGAAGUAGGCAAUGUCCAUCUGCAGUUCCUUUUUCACUUCUUUUUUCAAUGCCUUUGGUCCAUCCCGAGCCACUUGUUCUUUCUGCAGGCACCUGCUAUCUUCAUGGUGACUAUUGACUAUGCAAGUUUCUCCACGGUGGCACCUACUGAAGCCAUCUCUCUCCCGGCAGAGUCCAGCUUCUGAACUCUUACCCAUGUAAAAUAUUCAUCUCUUAGUGCUUGCUUCAGCAGCACAUAUACCAGCGUUAUAAUGAUAGAGAAGAUUAACAUGGUCCCUGUGCAAGGACAACACACAAACUCAAAUAUUCCAUAUUUUUAUAGUAUGCUACCAUUUACCUCAGAAGGUAGGGUGGGGAGAUGGUGAUGGAUGUUAAUGCAUCUAAGAAGUGGAAGGAAUUACAAAUGUAUUUCCUAUGUUGAAAAACUAGAAGGUUUUUCAACCAUCAACGGAUGGUUACCCGUGGGAAGAGAAAUAGGUUGGAGGGAAUAAGAAUAGAAGCUAGACUUCUUUGAAUUAUACUUUGCUUUGUAGAUUUGAUUUUGGAAGCAUGCAAACCAUUUAUGAAAGUAAAUGUUUAAAAAAUCCCCCCAAAUUGAAAGUAAAUGAAACAAAUGAAUUUAACUGCAUCUAAUUGGUAUCAUAACUACACAGGGUAAAUACAGAGAGUUUCUAUAGAUGAAUAAAAAGCUCCU